GCUUGACACUACAGCACUGAAAUCAGUGACAGAAACUCGAGCGCAGUUUACCAUCCGCUCCACUAGGCGGCGCGAGCGUGUUUCACUGUCAGCGCGACACCUUUGGGUCCUUGACAACAACGACGCUUGAUGACAGUCGCUACGACACGUGCAGAUGACAGCUAUUACCACACAACUGCACAUAUUCCAGCAAAUAAACCGACUCACAGUGCGAUAAAAUGCGGGAAUCGAGUGUCAUUAACUCCUCGAAUAAGGGAUGUUUGGACACCCAGUCAUCAGAAGCAGAGCUGUAGGAAGUGUGGACAGACAUUGACUGUAAUGAUGGACUUCUGCUGAUGGACAGACAGAAAAGUAUAACCCCUGCUGGACAUCGUACCGGGGCUCAGGGGGGGACCCGACUCAUCCCCGCCCCUUCACGCUCACACCAUUCACUCAUAUCGCUGAGGUCUGGCUGGGAUCGAACCAGCAACCUCUGAACCCGUGAGGCAGCGCUCUUAACCUAAUAAGGGAUGUUUGGACACCCAGUCAUCAGAAGCAGAGCUGUAGGAAGUGUGGACAGACAUUGACUGUAAUGAUGGACUUCUGCUGAUGGACAGACAGAAAAGUAUAACCCCUGCUGGACAUCGUACCGGGGCUUCGGGGGGGGACCCAACUCAUCCCCGCCCCUUCACGCUCACACCAUUCACUCAUAUCGCUGAGAUCUGGCUGGGAUCGAACCAGCAACCUCUGAACCCGUGAGGCAGCGCUCUUAACCUGUGAGCCACAGAUCUCAUGUCUGAAUAUGUGCAGGAACUUAUAUUUCACUGUUUCCUGACCUGUGAUUUACAAUAAACUAGUUAAAGCUUU